GAGAGAUAGACAGAACAGCCUAGACACUGAGUUAACAGGUAAGGCCUGGGGAGGGAGAGAUAGACAGAACAGCCUAGACACUGAGCUAACAGGUAGGGCCUGGGGAGGGAGAGAUAGACAGAACAGCCUAGACACUGAGUUAACAGGUAGGGCCUGGGGAGGGAGAGAUAGACAGAACAGCCUAGACACUGAGCUAACAGGUAGGGCCUGGGGAGGGAGAGAUAGACAGAACAGCCUAGACACUGAGUUAACAGGUAGGGCCUGGGGAGGGAGAGAUAGACAGAACAGCCUAGACACUGAGUUAACAGGUAGGGCCUGGGGAGGGAGAGAUAGACAGAACAGCCUAGACACUGAGUUAACAGGUAGGGCCUGGGGAGGGAGAGAUAGACAGAACAGCCUAGACACUGAGUUAACAGGUAGGGCCUGGGGAGGGAGAGAUAGACAGAACAGCCUAGACACUGAGUUAACAGGUAGGGCCUGGGGAGGGAGAGAUAGACAGAACAGCCUAGACACUGAGCUAACAGGUAGGGCCUGGGGAGGGAGAGAUAGACAGAACAGCCUAGACACUGAGUUAACAGGUAGGGCCUGGGGAGGGGAGAGGUAGACAGAACAGCCUAGACACUGAGUUAACAGGUAGGGCCUGGGGAGGGAGAGAUAGACAGAACAGCCUAGACACUGAGUUAACAGGUAGGGCCUGGGGAGGGAGAGAUAGACAGAACAGCCUAGACACUGAGUUAACAGGUAGGGCCUGGGGAGGGAGAGAUAGACAGAACAGCCUAGACACUGAGUUAACAGGUAGGGCCUGGGGAGGGAGAGAUAGACAGAACAGCCUAGACACUGAGUUAACAGGUAAGGCCUGGGGAGGGAGAGAUAGACAGAACAGCCUAGACACUGAGUUAACAGGUAGGGCCUGGGGAGGGAUAGAUAGACAGAACAGCCUAGACACUGAGUUAACAGGUAGGGCCUGGGGAGGGAGAGAUAGACUUGUGUGCCUACCUCUGCGUUUGUGUGUGUGUGUUGGGUCGUACCAUCGUGGCAUGCAGUCCCAGUCGUAGGGGAGGUUGUGUGUGUGUGUUGGGUCGUACCAUCGUGGCAUGCUGUCCCAGUCGUAGGGGAGGUUGUGUGUGUGUUGGGUCGUACCAUCGUGGCAUGCUGUCCCAGUCGUAGGGGAGGUUGUGUGUGUGUUGGGUCGUACCAUCGUGGCAUGCUGUCCCAGUCGUAGGGGAGGUUGUGUGUGUGUUGGGUCGUACCAUCGUGGCAUGCUGUCCCAGUCGUAGGGGAGGUUGUGUGUGUGUUGGGUCGUACCAUCGUGGCAUGCUGUCCCAGUCGUAGGGGAGGUUGUGUGUGUGUUGGGUCGUACCAUCGUGGCAUGCUGUCCCAGUCGUAGGGGAGGUUGUGUGUGUGUUGGGUCGUACCAUCGUGGCAUGCUGUCCCAGUCGUAGGGGAGGUUGUGUGUGUGUUGGGUCGUACCAUCGUGGCAUGCUGUCCCAGUCGUAGGGGAGGUUGUGUGUGUGUUGGGUCGUACCAUCGUGGCAUGCUGUCCCAGUCGUAGGGGAGGUUGUGUGUGUGUUGGGUCGUACCAUCGUGGCAUGCUGUCCCAGUCAUAGGGGAGGUUGUGUGUGUGUUGGGUCGUACCAUCGUGGCAUGCUGUCCCAGUCGUAGGGGAGGUUGUGUGUGUGUUGGGUCGUACCAUCGUGGCAUGCUGUCCCAGUCGUAGGGGAGGUUGUGUGUGUGUUGGG